CCUGUUGGGAGCCCCCAGAAACAGUGGCACCCCUUGGAGGAACGGCUGGGGUGGCUGGAGGCUGAGGUGCCCAAGCUCAGAGAGCAGAGAAGAUCUCAUCUGAACAGUCUUUAACAUCCAUUCUCUCAUGAGUGAAGAAUCUCCAGAGUAUUUGUGGUGUGUGGAUUUCCGUGCCCUUCAUAAUGAAGCACCUGCCAGGCACGGGGUGAGGGUGGGGACUGCUGCCCUUUCUGCCCAAGGAUGGACCUGUGCUCCCUGAGAACCAUGUGAGACGGAUGCUGACAGAAGGAGACCGGCCUCUGCCGUGGAGUUGUCAAAUUCUCAUCCUGACUCCGUUUUUGCACCUCAUGAAUCCAUGAGACAUGGAAAGGCUGAGCUGUAGUCCCAUCUCUUCCCCAGAAUGAGGACCUGCAGGCCAGAGUGAGGCGGCUGGAGUCCUGUGAAUGCCGCCCUGCCUCUGUCCAGUGCUGGGGGCUUGGGCGCGCCUGGCCUGAGGGGUCUUGCUGGGAGCCCAAUGCCUGCACAGCCUGCAUCUGCCAGGACGGGGCAGCACGCUGUGGCCCUCGGCCCGAGCUGCCCCACUGCCAACGUUAGUGCCACCCAAUCUACCCACUGAGCCACUUCAGGGCCUGGAGAUGGUGUUGGGCCUGAGUGCCACACUGUCUCCUCCUCAGGCUGCAGCCACAAUGGUCAGGUCUGUGGUAAUGGGGAGACGUUCUCCCCAGACACCUGCACCUCCUGCCUCUGCCUGGUGAGUUCCCACGCCCUCCCUCCAGCUCCCCAUCACUAGGUGCUGGGACUGGAUAUUGUGUGAUGGGUUCUUGCCCCUGGUGGCCUUGGGCUGAUUCUCUGGGGGUCUGCUGUCUGAAGUGCAACCCCCCCCCCAAGCCUCAAGCCCCUUGAUUUUGCCUUGACAAAGAGUGGCAUGGGGGCCAGAGGAUGUAGUUACUAUCUUCUUUCCUCAAACCCUCUCCUGUGUGACGAGCGCUGUUGCCCUCACCCCACCUCAUCUGCUACCUCACAUUUCCACUGCCUGCUUUCUGUCACUUCCUCCAUGGCCUUUUCUCCUGGCCUUUUCUUUCCUACUCCUCCACUGAGAAAGCCCUGGGUUCUCUUCCUAGGAUCUCUCCACUCUGGGGAAGUUGCUGGCACCUGGAGAAGCGGGUUCCAAGGGGUCAAGGGCUUCAGGAAUGGUGGGGUGGAUGGGACAUCUCUUUUCUGCCCUUGGGCUGGGGUAGCAUGUAUGCUGAGCCAGCUCAUCCUCUGCUUCUGGACACAUUCCUGCCUGGGGUGAGUCUGGAGUUCGGAAGGCCCUGCAGUCACCCUAGCUGCUUCCACAGGAAGGGGCCAUCACCUGUACCCAGAAGCCAUGCCCAAGAGCACCCUGCCCUGAGCUGGGAGCAUGCUGCCCACACUGUGAACCAGGUCAGCAUGCUACAGGCCCUGCCCUCCCUCCUGGUUGUGCCCUGGGGGACCUGACAGAGAGAGAGAGCAGAGCUGAAGAAACCCUGUGAUGGUGCCUGGUGAGUGCUGAGCUGAGCUGGAGCCAGCAAAUGCUGACGCUGCCCUGGGAUGCAUCAAAGAUUAUCAGGACCCUGAGGAGCUUCUGGUCUAGUUGAGAAGAUAAAUUUACAGCUAAUCUAUCACAAGAUUUAAGAUCCAAUGAACAGAUUAGGAGAUGUAGAAGACAUGGGCCAGGGAUUUAGCCCAGUGGUUCUGUCGCCUGCCUCGCAAGCACAAGGACCCGAGUUCAAUCCCCGGUACCAAAAAAAAAAAAAAAAAAGAGAGAUUUAUAAGACAGUGCAUGCUUUCCCAGAGGAAGGAACAGGAGGGCAGGGGACACCCAUCUGAGCAGGUAGGCAGUUAGGAAGGCCUUUGUAGCCCAGGGGUCAUUUGCACUGGAUCUUCAAGGGAAGGUGGGAUUUCUCCAGGAGAAGGAGAACUUGAGGUCCCUCUGAAUAGGAACCAGGCAGGGAGAAAUGUAUUCCAAGAAUCAGUCCAGGAGGGCCAGUGGAAACAGGCUGUGAUAAGCCCUGCAGUUGGGCUUUCUUCUGUGGGCAGUAGGGAACUUUUGAAGGCUGAAGAGCCAGAGUGUGACAUAUUCAAAUAUAAUGUUUAGGAAUAUUCAGCUGGUGUGGGCUGGAUGCAGAGAGACCAGUUGGGGGCUUUUACAGUCCUUGUCUAGGCAUGGAGCCAGAGAUGGUAGGAGGCUGCAAAUAACAAAGUGUUUCUAAAGAAUGUGCAGGGAUUGGUGACUGGUUGGAUCCAUGGAGUAAUGGUGGCCUUUCAUUUAAAAGAAAGACACCCCUUUAAAGGCACUUUAGUCCAAUCUGUUGUAAAAUAAAUACAUCGAGGAGCCAGGUGUGGUGAUG
ensembl:lncRNA